UUAUGUCAACAGCGUUUUUUUCGCUGAACAUAAUAGUAUCAUUUAUAUGUUCUCGACCGGCUAUCAUAAAACAGAUGCAAGGAGCCAGUGAUAGUCUGUAAAAUAAUUAUGGAAGCACUGUUGUGUUUAGGUACAAGUAGUAAAAUGGUCCUGACUCAAAGAUUCAUAUUAGUAGUAGUAUAGUGCUUUGUUCAUAAGAAGGUUCCAGGAAUCAAGGGUCAAGAUCAUGUGCCUAGACCCUUAAGAUAAGCUACAAUAUUUGCAUGGGCUUAUGAUCCAUUUUAAGAUGAGCUGGUGGUCAGUGAAGGUCUCUGCUGAUACCGAAAC